rnacentral:misc_RNA from 1 species
GAUGAAGAACGCAGUGAAAUGCGACAAGUAAUGUGAAUUGCAGAAUUCCGUGAAUCAUCGAAUCUUUGAACGCACAUUGCGCCCGCCAGUAUUCUGGCGGGCAUGCCUGUCUGAGCGUCAUUUCAACCCUCAUGCCCCUAGGGCGUGGUGUUGGGGAUCGGCCAAAGCCCGCGAGGGACGGCCGGCCCCUAAAUCUAGUGGCGGACCCGUCGUGGCCUCCUCUGCGAAGUAGUGAUAUUCCGCAUCGGAGAGCGAUGAGCCCCUGCCGUUAAACCCCCAACUUUCCAAGGUUGACCUCAGAUCAGGUAGGAAUACCCGCUGAACUUAAGCAUAUCAAUAAGCGGAGGA